rnacentral:rRNA from 1 species
GACGUAGGGCGCGAGCGUUGUCCGGAAUUAUUGGGCGUAAAGAGCUCGUAGGCGGUCUGUCGCGUCGAAUGUGAAAACCCGGGGCUCAACCCCGGGCCUGCAUUCGAUACGGGCAGACUAGAGUUCGGUAGGGGAGUCUGGAAUUCCUGGUGUAGCGGUGAAAUGCGCAGAUAUCAGGAGGAACACCGGUGGCGAAGGCGGCUCUCUGGGACGGUACUGACGCUGAGACGCGAAAGCGUGGGGAGCGAACAGG